UGAAAUUAAUUCGUCGUCAUUCUUUUUUUGUCCGUUCGAUUCCUGUGUUAAGAUUCGUGCAGGUAUGUUUUUUUUUUCAGCUCUCGGUCUGUUCGGUUCUUAUCGGGCCCGCAAACUAGCCUGGAGACCCGUUAUUUUCGCGGGUCACGUCUCCUGGUCUCAGGCGGUCUCAUUUUUCUUUUCUCUUUCUUCAUUUUCUCCUCCUGUAGCUGCCUUUGUCAGUUUCCUUCCCCAUUUCCAGCGGGCAGCGGCGAGAGCUCGGAGGCAGAGAGCCAUGGCGAUUUUGGUUGGAGAUCUCACUCGCCGAUCUCUCAAGGCGUUCUGGUGCGGCGGAGACAGGCCCCAGGCACCGGGGCGUGAGACCAUUUUCCUUCGUCAACUGUAGGGAACAGUGUAGCUAGUGUAUACAGUCUACAGUGCUUGAAGACUGCCUGGGUCCUUGCCCCAGCCUGGCGCCGCCACUGUAUGUAUGGUUGCCUAUGCUGAAUCUCCUGGUUAGUUGGUGGACAGAAUUUUUUUCAGUUAAGUAACAGUGGUUUGGACUGUAAUUUGGAGUGUUAAUUUGAGUGGAUUUUCAGUUUAAUUUCAUUUGUAGCCCAGUGUAAAUGCAAUUUUAGUCAUUUGUAGUCACAGUCUACAUUAGUCUAUCUUACACUGUAAUUUUCAGUGUUUCGUUUCAUUUUUUGUAACUUCUGUAAUGUGUAACUUCCAGUGUACAUGGUGGUACAUUUUAACUGAAUCUUCUGCUUCCACUGUUUUUUACAUGGUAAUACAUUAAUUGAAAUUUCAGUAAAUAGAGAAAGUAAAUUAUUGAUCUAGAUGUAGGUAUGCAAAUGCUGAAUCUCCUUUUCGGUUGAGUCUCGUGACUGAAUUUUUUCAGUCAAGUAAUAGUGUUUUGGACUGUAAUUUGCAGUGUAAUUUUGAGUGGAUUUUCAGUUUAAUUUCAUUUUUGUAGUCCAGUCUAAAUGUCAAUUGUAAAAUGCAAUUUCAGUUUAAUUUUACAGUGAUUUUUCUUACUGUAGGUACAGUCUAUAGUCUAUAUUACACUGUAAUUUUUAGUGUCUUCUUUCAUUUUUUGUAACUUACAGUCUAUAUUAAACUGAAUAUCUGUGUACUAACAGUCUAAGUUAAUGUACUUUAACUCUGUAACUUACUAUUCUAUGUACUGAAAGUUCCAGUCUAAAUUGCAGUGUAAUUACACUGUAAUUCAUUUGGAUUUUAUUCUAUUUAAUUACACUAUAUGUCACUAUAAUUCACACUGUAAUGUCACAUUGACUUCCAGUGUCAGUGCACUAACAUUACAGUGCAAUUACACUGCUCUUUUACACUGAUAAUUGCACUCCCUGUAAUUUACAGUCCAAUUUUCAUUUGGAAUAUAUUAUAUGUAAUUACACUGCAAUGUUAGUGCACUUACACUGUAUAUCCCUUUGUAAUUACAGUGAAUUACAUUUGUAAUUAUAGUGUUUAUUAUUUUAUAUGUGCAUUUUUUACUAUGUAUUUACACUGGAUUGUCAGUGUACUUACACUGUAAAUCCUUGUGUAAUUUUAGUGGAUUAAUUUUGUAAUCGGAGUGCUAUAAAUAAUUUUGACCAUGGUUAGUUGCAGUGUUGGUUUGUUGUGAGUGAUGUAAAUCAUUUGGAAACAGAUGAGUAGAUUGAUGAAGGAUUGUGUGAGAUAUGUUGUCUUUUAGUUUACCACCAUAAUCCUUUUGUUGGUCUUGUCAUUUUUAGUCUUUUAUGGUGUUCUUUCAGCUUCGAUCCUUGCUUCAUAAUAAUCAAUUUUUUGACUAUGAUUAGUGAUACAGAUGUGCAGAUUGCGGAAGGCUUGUGGGCAGGAACCCCAUGAUAUUUCUUCUGAUGACAGUGUAGAUUUUUCUUCUGUCCUUGUUCUGCCUUUCAGGUUGUGCUGGAUCUUGCUGAAAUUCUUCACUCAUCUAACUCGGAUAACCCAAGAUUUCUGAAGAGUGGUCAGAGACGCUCGUUUUCAAUGUGCUCGAUUAUCUUGCUCGGUCUUCAUUCAACCUUUGGCCUCAAUUUACUAAUCUUCGUUAUGUACUUUACUGUUUUUUCAUUUUGUAAUUCUUGUUUAGGCUUACUAUAACUUUAGCCCAGUUAGCAUUUUCAAAUUCUGCAACUCAUUAACUGCAUGUUUAAAAAGAUCAGUUGCAACAUAGACCAAUAAAUUCUGAACUAUUUGCUUCUAGUAUUUAAAAUUA